rnacentral:rRNA from 1 species
GACGAACGCUGGCGGCGUGCUUAAUACAUGCAAGUGGAGCGACGAACCAGGGCUUGCCCUGGGGCAGAGCCGCGAACGGGUGAGUAACACGUGGGUAACCUGCCUCGAUGACCGGGACAACCCGAGGGAAACUCGGGCUAAUACCGGAUGUGCUCUCCUCACAUCAGUGGGAAGAGGAAAGGAAGCUUCGGCCUCCGCAUCGGGAUGGGCCCGCGGCCCAUUAGCUAGUUGGUGGGGAAUGGCCUACCAAGGCUUCGAUGGGUAGCUGUUCUGAGAGGAAGAUCAGCCACACUGGGACUGAGACACGGCCCAGACUCCUACGGGAGGCAGCAGUGGGGAAUCUUGCGCAAUGGGCGAAAGCCUGACGCAGCGACGCCGCGUGAGGGAUGACGGCCUCGGUUGUUAACUACUUCUACNCCUCGACGAGACGAAGUAGACGGUAGGGACGACGGAAGAAGACGACCGGACCGAACCUACGUACGCCGACGCCGCCG